rnacentral:rRNA from 1 species
CAGAGCCGCGGUAACACGAGGGGGGCAAGCGUUAAUCGGAAUUACUGGGCGUAAAGCGUGCGCAGGCGGUUCGUUAAGACAGAUGUGAAAUCCCCGGGCUUAACCUGGGAACUGCAUUUGUGACUGGCGAGCUAGAGUAUGGCAGAGGGGGGUAGAAUUCCACGUGUAGCAGUGAAAUGCGUAGGGAUGUGGAGGAAUACCGAUGGCGAAGGCAGCCCCCUGGGCCAAUACUGACGCUCAUGCACGAAAGCGUGGGGAGCAAACAGGAUUAGAGACCCCUGUAGUCCCUGUCUCUUAUACC